rnacentral:rRNA from 1 species
GAUCCUGGCUCAGGAUGAACGCUAGCUACAGGCUUAACACAUGCAAGUUGAGGGGCAGCAUGGUCUUAGCUUGCUAAGAUUGAUGGCGACCGGCGCACGGGUGAGUAACGCGUAUCCAACCUUCCCUAUAGUAGGGGAUAGCCCGUAGAAAUGCGGAUUAAUACCCUAUGUUGUAUUUUGAGGACAUCUGACGAAUACCAAAGGUUCACCGCUAUAGGAUGGGGAUGCGUCUGAUUAGGUAGUCGGCGGGGUAACGGCCCACCGAGCCAACGAUCAGUAGGGGUUCUGAGAGGAAGGUCCCCCACAUUGGAACUGAGACACGGUCCAAACUCCUACGGGAGGCAGCAGUGAGGAAUAUUGGUCAAUGGGCGAGAGCCUGAACCAGCCAAGUAAGCGUGCAGGAUGACGGCCCUAUGGGUUGUAAACUGCUUUUAUGCGGGGAUAAAGUGGGGGACGUGUCCCUUAUUGUAGGUACCGCAUGAAUAAGGACCGGCUAAUUCCGUGCCAGCCGCGGC